rnacentral:rRNA from 1 species
ACCAGACUCCUACGGGAGGCAGCAGUGGGGAAUAUUGGGCAAUGGGCGCAAGCCUGACCCAGCAACGCCGCGUGAAGGAUGAAGGUUUUCGGAUUGUAAACUUCUGUCGCGAGGGACGAAGAAUGACGGUACCUCGUAAGAAAGCCCCGGCUAACUACGUGCCAGCAGCCGCGGUAAUACGUAGGGGGCAAGCGUUAUCCGGAUUCACUGGGUGUAAAGGGAGCGUAGACGGCGACGCAAGUCUGGAGUGAAAGCCCGGGGCCCAACCCCGGGACUGCUCUGGAAACUGCGGCGCUGGAGUACGGGAGGGGCAGGCGGAAUUCCUGGUGUAGCGGUGAAAUGCGUAGAUAUCAGGAGGAACACCGGCGGCGAAGGCGGCCUGCUGGACCGUGACUGACGUUGAGGCUCGAGAGCGUGGGGAGCAAACAGGAUUAGAUACCCGUGUA